AUGGAGCCGAGGCCGGCCUCUGGGCGGGUGUCCCUUCAGCACAGCUCUGCUCCGGGUCCGCUUAGCCAGGGGCGGAGGAUGCUAUCGAUCUCUGCUCGCUCCCGUCUAGCAGAGAGGCUGCAAACGUGGCUUCCCAUCACGCGGCGCAUUAGCCAAAUUAAUUCCAGGACGGCGAGGCAGCCGGUGGGUUCUCAAGGCCGAGACAGAUCCGUGCUGCAGCCACGUGAGGAGGGGCAGAGCAGCUCCCCAGAUGCAGCCAGCCUUCUGCUCAGCCGGACCCACGCUCUGCAGGACGGGGAAGAUGCUGGGGCCGGUGACACGGGCGGUUCAGCUGCGUGCCUGUGGAGCGCAGGAAGGUUCCUCCCCCGUGACAAGGAAAAAAGAAAUUAGCGAGCGGAUCGAGCGUGUACAGCAAAUAAUGAGAUCGCCUUGGAUACGGCGGCGGAAUUCAUGCAAAGAAUUGUGCUGAUCAGAGGAGAUAAGCAGCAGUUCCGUGGCCUGUGAGCAGCACCACGAGGCUCGUGUUUCUCAAGUGUUUUCUCAGGGAUGCUUGGAUGAAGGCUGCCAGCAGAGGCCCGAUCCAGAGGCAGAUUGAGCUGCUUUAGCUAUUGCGCUUAGGAGCGUGAUUUAAAAACUAAACCCUGGAAUAGCUAUGCUGGUGGUUAUUUUGGUGGGGAAGUGCCUCGUAAUGCGUCUCAUUUUCCUUGAGGCAUGGGAAUAGGCGAUACAGAAAUGAGCACUUCUAUACCAGCACAGCAGCACCCACAGAGGAGGCUCGUCCUGAGGGAGCCCACGUUGGAGGGGCCGAGUACUGGUGCAGUCAGUGAAAAGAGCUAAGUUUGUGGAAUGCUUUAAUAACGAGCAAUUGUUUCUUAUUAAUCCCCCGGUAUUAUAAAAGGGAAAAAAAAUCACAGUAUUUUACAGGCAAAUAAAGACAAAGCAUCUAGCUAGUGAACAGCUCAGUAGCUCAUUCAGUGCUUGUUAAAGCAGCUGAGGGUGUUUGUGCUGUCAGACUGAUUGGAAGGAGGGAUAGUAAACGGCUUUGUUUUUAUUUUUAUGGGAAACGUACUCAUCUCUGCGUUUGCAAUGCCUCUUAGUCAACACUGGUGUUUUUUCUAAGGCUUGAGAAGUGCCAUUAAUGACUAGAUGGGUUCCAGGCAGUCCUUUAAGGCACUUCGAGAGUCGACUGGUACCAGGAGCUUCCCUGCGAGGCAAGUACCAGAAGGCUGCUAGGCAGUGGCAGAUGGGCACGAGUAGCACUUCCAAAGGCACUUUAGGAAAGUAAAGCAUUCCCCAAAGCCUGGUAAAGCCUGCUUUGAUUGCAGUCCCAGCUUCCUGUACCAUGUGUGUGGCAGCAGCCUCACCGAUAGUAAAAUACCCCAGCAAAUACGUUAUCAUCCAGGUGUUUUUUCCCUUUAUGCUGGAAAAAAAAAAGAAAAGGGUAGAGGGACAUGUUCCCUGAGCACGUUCCCUGAGGCAGUUUGGUUUUCUUGUGCCACCUCCUGAGGUCUCAGGGAUAGAAUCAUUUUGGGAGGGCCCCAAAGGGCGUCCCCCCUCUCCCCACGCUCCCCCAAGAAGGCUGUGCUGUCAACCUGGGUGUUACAAGCAUCCUGCGUGUUGGUAACCCAUUUCCUGCGCUGAAAUGAGUGUUGGAUUUGAUGCAGUUAGCUCUCCCCAUGAUUUAAUUAUCGCUGCCCCAGCUGCCCACCUUGGCUUUAGCACUGCCCUGCUCACAGGUGGGGGAAGCAUGCAGGCAGCGCUGCACAGUUACGGGCUUUGCAGGAGAGGCUGUGGGUGCUUUCCACGUGCUCAUCCUGAUUCAUGUAUUUUAUGAAUCAGAACUUAGUCCCGUUUUGUAAUGCUUGCCUACGUAGCUGUUGAUGUCGUUGUUAUCCAGGCUCUGAUGUCAGCUGCUGGAGCCCAGGCGCUGGCAGCUGGUGUCCCUGGCCAGCUCCCAGCCUGCAAUUCAAUUUCCCCAUCAGUCACUUCAGAAGACAGGAAAAAAAACACAUUUCUGUCUGUUUGUGACUUCACAUCACCAAGGGCUCCAGGCUACAAGUUCAUUUAAGGCUCUUCCACACUGUGACACAUGGGAAAGCUCAGAAAAAUCGAAUAAUGGUAUAGAAGUGACACCCUCAUUUAUACUGUGCUAAACUACUGUAAGCGAAGGCCAGCUUAAUCCUGGAUGAACAUCUCUGCGCAAGAGUUUAAUGUCUUUUAGGUUUCUUACAUUAACAUUGUCUCUCUGAACACAGAUCAGUCCAGGCAUGUUUUGCCCUGUUCCCAAUCUCAUCAAUGGUGGAAAAGGACCACAAAGGGCAGAGGCAGCAGCACGGGGGAAUAAGGGCAUCCCCCUGGAAGCACAGAGCCCUGCGCUGCCUUCUGACACUGACCCUCUGCGUGGGUUUUUGUGUAGCACUUUGAGCCUGAAUAUUUCUGUCUGCAUGUUAGGAUUAUUAGAAUAUUCCCUGACUUUACAAAGGGCUUGAGGAUCUCCAGAGAUGCAUGUGCACCAUUUCCCCGGUUUGAGCUUUCAAAAAUACACCCAGAGGAGCACAUUCCUGUGUGUCUGGAGGACCCACCUGGGAUGUCACAGCUGCUUUGGUUCUUAGAGCGAAGGAAUUCAGACCAGCUGAGAGCCAGCCCCACCACCAG
rnacentral:lncRNA from 1 species